UGCCCGCCCUGCUGUCGCGGGGUCCCUGAACCGCGGGCGGCCCCGGGCUCCCUCGGCUCGGCCAUGGCCCCCCCGCCGCCGUGCAGGCCCCCGAGGUCGCCGCCGCGGCUGCUGCCGUUGCUGCUGAGCUUCGCGCUGCUGGGCGCCCAGGCCCGCGCCGAGCCCGCCGCCGGGAGCGCAGUCCCCGCGCAGAGCCGCCCGUGCGUGGACUGCCACGCGUUCGAGUUCAUGCAGCGCGCCCUGCAGGACCUGCGGAAGACGGCCUACAGCCUGGACGCGCGCGUCCUGAGGAAGGACCACCAGUCCCAAUCCAGCAUUCCCCACGUGGGGCCAUGAGGCCGGGUGGGCAGAGAGGAAACUGAGGCAGGGGGAAGAGUGUUCAUCUUCUCUGGGUCAGAAAGGGACGGAGAGCCUCCUGCUGCAGGCCGAUCGCCGGGCCCUGUGUGCCUGCUGGCCC